rnacentral:rRNA from 1 species
UACGAAGGGGGCUAGCGUUGCUCGGAAUCACUGGGCGUAAAGCGCACGUAGGCGGAUCUUUAAGUCAGGGGUGAAAUCCCAAGGCUCAACCUUGGAACUGCCUUUGAUACUGGGGAUCUCGAGUCCGGAAGAGGUUGGUGGAACUGCGAGUGUAGAGGUGAAAUUCGUAGAUAUUCGCAAGAACACCAGUGGCGAAGGCGGCCAACUGGUCCGGUACUGACGCUGAGGUGCGAAAGCGUGGGGAGCAAACAGGAUUAAAAU